rnacentral:lncRNA from 1 species
GUGGGUUUUUCUACUUUUAAAGAGGCAUUUUUUUUCCAGCUGUUUUGGGGCAGAUGCAGGGCUUUGACCGCUGCCCCCUGUGGUGCCGCCAGAUAAUUCUGCCACUUGAAAAUGCUAGUUUAACUGGGCACACGUUGCCUUAGAAUUUGGUAAUGGUGGCAUCAUCUGCUGAGGGGCCCAUUUUUUAUGUUAAAAGAGUUUUUGAGAUGCUCCCAGGAGAGUGAGCACUAAGUAAACAAAAUGCAGGGAGAUGGUCCUUUGAGAGAAGACUAUCCACUUACCCUGGCUCCGGAGCUCACAGAGUGGGAAAUGACAAAAUUUUGGCAUGGCCAUCCAAGCACAGACCCACUAGCACCAGCAUAAACUGUUGGCACUUCCCUGGCUGUAUCCCAAGUAGGAACAGACCAGGUAAGACCUGGACAUCUGGGGAAAUUUGGGGAGCAAACAUAAGGGCGAGGUCACAGGGCAAACCCAAGCUGGAGUCAGCAGCUGCAGCCAUGACCAUCAGCCCCGCUUCUCCUGCCUCAUGCCAACUGACCCAUCAGCCAGGGGAAUACAAGGUCACCGCUUCAACCUCCUGGACCCUGGGUGAAUGGCGAAGUUCCACAAGAUGUGGGUCGCAGAGGGACUACAGGUGGGGGAAGGUAGACUGAUUGAAGGGAGUAUGACACAUUGGGGAAGUUUCCAGGGCACUUACCCCGAGCAGGACCCUAUGGUGGGCAACAAGCCCAGCCCUCACAGGGUGAAUGUGGAUGCAAAGCCCGCCCCAGUAGGGAGAACCCAUGUCUUGCACUGCCAAAGUGUCAGGUGCAGCCACAGCUGCUGGCAAUGGCCAUGCCCACUAGCCAUAUGCUGUUUUCUCACCAUGACAACCACUGGCAAAAGCAGACAGUACAUGCCAAGCUACCAUGGGGUUUGGCCAGGACUGCUGGUAAUGGCACAUGCGUAUACACAAAGUUUCAAACAGAGCCUCGUGGAAUAUUCUGGUUACGUGCUUUUACAAAAAAAAAAAAAAAAAAAACUCUGUAGCCACAUGGAGAGAGAAAUUUGGCAGAUAAGUCCCACCUCUAGCAGUCUUCCCAUUGUUCAUUUCAUUGUCACCCAAACAGGGCUUUUUGGUCCUGGCUUGCAACCCUUAACCUAUACUUUCUGUUUCACACAGGGCUGCUCCCGAAGCUACACAGAGCCUACAUUUUACUUAAGAAUGCCCAUCUGUAAAUACUAACAAAAGAUAUCCUUUUCAGGCAAAAUUUAGUUUCACGUUCCUGCCUGUAUGUGUUCUCAAACUAAAAAAAAAAGAUUUUUAUCCCUUGCCAGGUUCUCUUAGAAACUCUUAAUAGCUGUUUUAUUAAGAAAAGUUGCAGAGGUAAUGUAGUAAUUAUAAGAGGUUAUAAGGAUUAGUGUUCUCCAAAUUAAAGUUGUACAUUAGUUUUGAACAAUAAAAGUUUUAAGCUUUUUUGUAAAUUAAUUUAUCUUAUAUAAAUUCUCUGACUGGACCUAUAAUUCAUGAAACAUUGUAAGACAUGUAUGUUGCCACCUUAAAUGGGAAACAACCUUAAUCAUAUUAUUUAAAAGACAGUUUAGUGACACCUACUUAAAGGAUAAUAUUCUGAGAUAUAGAGAUAUUUUAAGACAUUCUCUCUGAAAGAGAUUGGGGGGUUCUACUUAAAUUGUUAGGAUGAAUCAGCUAGUUAUCUCAUUUUCAUAUCUAGCCUCAACUACUAUCAUCAAAGAAGGGCUUAAAAAUUGGAAAGAUCAAAGGAACCUCUAAAACUUAAUAUAGACCAAAACAAAUUUAGGGAGUUUUUUUUUUAAAGGUCCAAGUAAAUGUACUGUAGGGUUUCAGAAUGUAUGGCAUAUUAUGCUAUUACUUAGCUAAACUAUGCAAUAGAAGGCCAUCUUAAAAACAGUUUUAAAGGAGAUUUAUCUUAACCAUGUCCCACUAACACAGAAUAGGGACAAGCCUGACAAUUUGGAGCAGACAGUUCCCCAGGACAGAUUGGUAUCUAAAAGAUAAACAAAAUUCCUAAAAUAUAAUUUUAGGGGCUGGGGCUGUAGUUCAAUGGUAGAGUGCCUGCCUCACACAUGUGAGGCACUGGGUUCAAUCUUUGGCACCACAUAAAAAUAAAUAUAUUGUGUCCAACUACAACUAAAAAAAAAAUUAAAGAGUUUUUUUAAAAUCAUAAUUUUAGUAAGUCUUUAGAAAAAUUCUACUAUUUUUCAUAGACUUAUAAAAGACAAUACAGUACCUUAAACUUAUAGGGGGCCACCCAUUUGAAAAGGUGUUUAUCUCCAGUUAGCCCUAGACAUUCCAAGGGAUUUACAAAGGUGAACAUAAUUCUAGCCAAGUUUAGAUGUUACAGCAUAGUUAAAUGCAGCCCAAAUGAAGAAACAGAAAGGCAAACAUACAGACAGCAAGAGAUUAAAAUGCUAGUCAUAGCUCCAAGAGAAAUAAAUUUCCUGGGGAAAAUGUUUGCUCCUAAGUUACAGAUUUUGAAACCCCCUUAACAUUAAAACAGGGUCUUACUUCAAGCACCUGGCAACAGUUUAUUACUGAAAAAGAAAGGAAAAAAAAAAAAAAACUCUGAAAAUAGUUAUGCCUAAAAUAUUAGACAAACAGCCAUAAAUAAAUCAGCUCAACAGUCAAUAGCAUAUUUCAAUAAAAAACUAACAUAAUAGACCUUUUCUAAACUUUAAUAAUAUCUGACAAUGUCCUACAUACAUUGAUAUUUUUAAAUUACUAACACCAUAAUUAGACAUAAUUAUUAGAAUUAAUUUUACUACGUUAAAUAAAGUUAUUAAGGUGCUCAUACAACUGUUUUUUUUUUAAUGCACAAAGAUUGUUUGUAAUAGAUCUCUAAAAAUGUUAUUGCUAGCUCAAUGUCAUAAAUUCUAAAUUAGAUCACUGUCUUAAACCACACUGUUGACUUGUUUUUACCCAUUAACAUUUGAGAUACUAAUUCUCCCUACUUAGGUCAACACUAAGUUGAUAACCAUAAUGCCAGUUUUUCAUGGAUUCAUAGAUAAAUUACUGUUCAUUUCUCUAUUUCAUUCUUUAUUAAUGGUAACAAAAUAUCUUCUCUAGGGUUAUUUAACAUAUGUACCUCCUAUUUUGGAUAGAUGUCUACAUAUUUCUCAUGCUCCUAGUAAAGACCACCACUACUACAUUAAGAUCUCUGUCUCUUGCUUCUUUCCAAAUUAAGAUAAAUAUUUAAGUUAAUCUAGAGCUAAUUUCAGCAUGCAAAUAUUUAUAUACAACUUAUUGUAUUCUUUAUUUUUGGUAAUUCUGUUAAAGUCAAAAUCAAGUCAUACAUUUAGUAAAGGGUAAGUUUCUAUUUACCUUGUUCCCAUUAAAUAACUUUGUCAAGUUUCACAACCAGCUAGAAAUAAUAAAUCUUUUCUUAUUAUUUAAAUACUUGUACUACAUUAAACAUUGCCUGUAUAACUUAAAACUAAUGAUACUAUGGCUUAUGCCAAGUCUCUACUCAAUUUUAUUAAAUAAAAAGAUGGGAAAAGAGAAUUCCAUAGCACAUAAUAGAUGUUACAAAAAUAUUUUUUUAAAUUUUUCUUAAUUGUGAUACUGGGAGUCUUAGUGCUACUGAACGUGAUUAGUAAGUUAAAUCAAAUUUCAAAAGAGUUUUAACUGGUUGUUGUGGAAAGGUUGAAAAACCUCACACAGGAAGAUAAAUUUCCAGCUGCAGAGUUUAUAGCCAUGCAGCUUCAUGGGCUUCUCAGGUAAGUAAAAAUUAUGAACAAACAUCCAUGGACCCAUUUCUCAAGUCCACCCUUAAAGAAAACACACACACACACACACGUUGUAGUUGGACAGAAUACUUUUAUUUAUCUUUAUGUGGUGCUAAGAAUUGAAUCCAGUGUCUUGAACAUGCUAAGCAAGUGCUCUACCGCUGACCCACAAACACAGCCCCUCAGGUACACCUUUGAUGUUCUUUGCAGUGAAGACUGGAAAGUCUACCCAUGCAACUAGAUGAAUUAUACUCACUGAAAUGGUCAGUUAUAGCUAUAUGUUGAUCCUAUGGUAAACAGGCUGUCUGGCAGUAUCUUUUGAGAAAAAGACAGUAUAUGAGAAUCCUAAACAAGCCAAUUAUGCUGAUCCUUACAAAUUAAGACAAUAUAUAUGGAUAAUUGUCAAAAUAGAAAGAUAGUUGAAAUAGAAAUUUUCUAUAUAGGCCAGUUAUUUACAUAAAAUAUUCAACAAUGUAUUAUUGCCUUAAUCAUUCUACAAUAGAAAUUGGCACAUUUUCUAAAUGGAUGGGUUUGGCCUAUGUAUUGUCAACAUAAGGUGUCUAGAAAUGGUCUCCUACAAUAACAUGAAGAUGACAUAACUCUUAGAAACCUGAAGUUUCAGUGAGAUAGCACUCAAAAGGAUGUUUUGAUGUUUGACUUCUGCCUUCAGAAUGUUUACAUUACUGACAGAACUAAAAGACUCCUUAAAUGUGAGAAUUGAAAAGAUGGUUAGAUAUUCUGUAACCUAUAAAAGGUACAGCUUGCCUAAUUUUAUCACUUUAUAGUAGGAUAAAAAGGACAUUGAUCCUCAUCAAUGUCUCUUUGUCCUGUUGCCAGCUAGCAUGCUGAAGUUAAAAUUCAGGCCUUGAAACAGGUGCAUGCCAAUUAACCAGACCUAGGCAAGUUCUUGAUCUCAUGAUCAAUGAAGUGACUAUUUAAAGUAUUAUUCAUUGUUCCUAUACUACAGCUUCUGUGGCUAUGUUUUAAAACUUACAACAUGUAAAUUUUCUUAAUAAUUUGACAUAAAUUACUUCCAAGAACCUUCAUAGUCAGAUAAAUGCUAAUGGAAGGAUUGAAACUAAGUUAAAUGCUCUAGAAGCCACUGUAAUGAGUAAUGCAAAUGAGCCCCCUGCUCCAUGGUUUGUGGAAAGGCUUAAAUGCUAUGCAAAUAAAAAUGUCCGUGUUACUGUGGCCAAACAGAAUGCUUCCAAGUAAAAUUGGGAAAAGAUUAAGAAUCUUCUGAUGAGUUUUUGGCAGAGUAAUCAUAAUAACCUGGAUCUUCCAAAGCUAAUUAAAUGACCUUAAUCCUAAAUAUGCUGAAACAUUCUAUAUAGUAUAUUAUUGAAAUGAUAUGUUUUCUACUAAUUUUUUUUAUGUCUCAAGAGUAGGUCAUGGUCUUCUCAGAACAAGAAUCCAGUGACUAAAACAUAAAUUACCAGUUGCCUUUUUUUUUUUUUUUUUUAAUUUUAAGAAAAGAGAAAUAUGUCAGGAGCUGCCCUGGAUACAAGAUCCCUUUCAGUCCUGAUGCACCAGGUUCUGAACAUAUUGUCUUUAGUCUGCCACAGUAGUUCCAGGUCACAGUAAUUUGGGCAUUACCCUAGCUUGGAAAACGAGGUGUGGCUCCAGAAUUAGGGGUUAUCUGCUGGGGUUGAGUUACACUCAUCUGUUCCUUUAUAAUCUUACCCCUUUGCCCUUUUGGGGAUAGAAUGUUUUGUGGAACCUUCCCUUGUAUAUCUUCUAUAUAAGAAUAAAGAAUUUCAGUUCCUCUCUCUCUUCCCAUGGACCUUUAAGGUCAGAGAGCCAUCACAGAUUUUGAGAUGGUACUUUUGUGUGUUUGUAUGCUUUCUUUGUUGGUUUCUUAAUUUUUUAAUAGUCAGAUUUUGUGAAGCCAGCAUUAGGUCACCAGCUAGGAUAGAUGAUGAUAACAGACAUUUCAGACCUAAGAAGAUAUUCAUUACAGUUCCAAAAUUACAUCUUUGUUGUUAUUUUUUUUAUUUGUCAAGUUGCAAUUUUCUUUUUUCUUGUGAGAUGAUCACAUAGAGAAAGCAAAAUCUUUAGAAACUGCCAUCCAGUUCUUGGAGAAAAGUUAGAAAUACUGCAACCAUUUAAAAUGUAACAUGGGGAAAAAUAGUUGAUAAAACAAAGAGGUGAUUCUGGUAUUGAAAAUAUGAAUAGAGCCAAGUGCAGUGGCCCAUACCUGAAACCCCAUUGUCUUGGGAGGCUGAGGCUGGAGGAUCAUGAGUUCAAAGCCAACCUCAGCAAGGGUGAGGGGCUAAGCAACUCAGUGAGACCCUGCUUCUAAAUGAAAUAUAAAUAAGGCUGGGAAUGUGGCUCAGGGUUUGAGUGCCCAUCAGUUCAAUUUCUAGUACACCCCUCAAAAAAAAAAAAAAAGUGAAUAUAAACAGAAACCUGGAGAUGUAGGAAUUCAUUCUGAGACUGAAGGGCUGCCAUAUUAAUAUAUUUAUAGAUCCAAUUUGCAACCAAAAAGAUCAAAAGUUGUAUGAAGAAACUGGACAUGUGGUACAUUCAAAGGCUGAAUAAACAAUAAACCAACAGAAUCCAUCUCAGGAAUGGCACUCCCCAAUCAUAAUAUAUUUAUGCUGCAGCCCUGAAACAUGAGAGCAACCACAUGGCUUGUUCUUUAAAGAUGGGGGUGUGGUUUGUAUGUGUUUUUAUGACAGAAUUAAGGCACAUAAGGAUUUUUUUAAAAUGUUCCAGGGCAAUAGUGGUCCAAACAUUUUUUUUUAGUGUCUUUUUACUUUUGAAAGAAAGUGAUGGGCUUUGUUCAAAGAUAAUUCUCUUCAUUUUACAUGUAUGCAAACAUACCAUAGGAGAAUGAAUUUGCUGUUUUGGGUAUGGAAUGUUGGUUCAAGGUGGUUUAUGCUAAUGAAGAGCCUUGGAUAACAUCAACUUUAAGAAAACAUUUUAGUGCAGAGGGAAUUGAGACUUCAGCAAGGGAAGAGCAACACCCAACACAUCAAAGGUUUUGGAGAUCCAAGGAAAAUACUGUGCCUAAAGUCUUCAACCUACAUGGAGAGAGGCCCUUAAAGUCAAUUGUACAGACUUCAAAAGAGAAGUGAUGGAUGGGCCAUUGAGGGGUUUCAUUAAUCAUUCCAUGCUUCAUCCAUGAUGAAUAUUGAUUGCCAACAUCCUGGAUAAUUCUUUUCUGAAAUAUAUCAUCAUGACUUAAAGCUAAAGCCAACUCUAAACUUGUCUCCCCCCCACUUUUUUUUAACCAUGGAUUGAACUCAGGGGUACUUAGCCACUGAACAAAACACCAGACUCUAUUUUGUAUUUUAUUUAAACACAGUGUCUCACUGAGUU